CUUUAUUAGUUUUUAAAGAAAAAUCCAUGGCCAGGUUCUGGAGACCUGCUUACGCUGAAGUUUUCCGUAUUGGUAUCGGAAAAGAAAAAGUAGCAUCGUGCCAGCUUUAAGUUCUAUUUCUGCUUCUUUUUCAUACUCCUUUCCAUUCGAAAGUUCCUGGCGUGAACGAAAGGUUUUUUCUUGCCCCUCCCCCCAAACCGUUACUCGGUUAAACUGUAAACUGUUACUGUUUUUAAACGACUGAAGAUUUAACAGAUAUUGGCCGAAACACGUCAUGUGACGUCAUCGUUUAGCCAAAACGAACACGAGUACAGCUAAAAAGGUCUCGUUUACCAACCGACAUCACGGUGAGAGAGAGCGCAAUUUCGUCAUUUUCCACAAAAAAAAAAUUUAAAAAAAGCUCCGCAACUUGAAUCACAAAUUUUGAAAAUAAUCCGCAGCAGAACCGAGCGUUUUUGUCCGCAACGAUCACAAAAGAAACUCCUGAAAUCCGGUCCGGACCGGUUACUCAUCAGCACUGGGAAUUUUGAAGAAAUAAAUGCAGCACACAAGAGUUCAUUGUGUAACAUCUUUUUAAAUCAUUUUAGGAGCAAGGAAUAAAUCAGUCGCUACAAUUAGUAUUCACAAAGCCUGGUCCAGGAGUAAAGCACACGCCGUACUCUACUCAAUAUAAUCAGUAUAUCCAUAUAUUUAUCAUAGAGUAUCUCACUAAGACGCUCUUAGGUUUAUUCUGCGAUUGACUCGACAUCAAACUGGAAGCAAUGUUAGAAAAAUACAUUGUGAAGAAAUGUUCUAGCUAACAAAAGUAGCUAUUCUAAAAACUUUCAAAAAAAGAGGCAAAGAAUAAAAUAGAAAAGAAAACAAAACUUUUUUUUUUUUCAUUCCACUUAAAUAAAAGUGUAACAAAAAUGGUGCGCUUCGCAGCAUGGUAUUAUAAUAUUUACGUUUAUACACGUGAUCUCUACAAACACGUCUUUAUCUGUAAAAACAUUUAAAAACAAAAAAUCAUGUGUAAAAAAAAAAAAAAAAAAAAAAAAAUCAACCAACAAAAAAACUGAAAGAAAGAAAGAUAUCAAACACUUCAGAUAGACAAUAGUAUAUUCUUCAGAUAGAUUCUCCUUCAAAAUAACUGAAGGGAUUUUAUCUUUGAAAUCAUACUCUCAGUGAUCGUCUUACGAAGACCCCUCACGACCUUUCACCUUUGACAUCGAGGUCAAAUCUGAGGCUUCCGUUUUACGCGUUAUAUUAACGCUGAAAAUUUAUUUUCGCGAUCUGCCAAUUUAAAAAUCCGCACGGGCGUCAACCGGAGCCAGCGUUACCGUACCACAGCAAACAUCGGGAUCUGGAUCGGGAGGAAGCGAGAGGACACGGUGAACAUGUGGUGCUCAGGCUGACACAAAACGUUGGUGUUUCACAGCUAUACUUCACACGAGAAACGGUUUCACGUUAUAAACAGGGCCAGAAGCGUUAUAGUGUUAUGUUUAACUCCGCCCACAAAAAAUCACGUGUUCACUGUGCGCAAAAAAAAAAAAAAAAAAAAAAAAAGGAAGAAAGCGACCAGAAUUUCCUUCGCAAAGUGGAAACAUCUUGAAAAAUAUGUAGCAAGACAUCUGAUAUUUCUGUACAGAACAUUUAAGAUGUUUUAACAUUUAACCCCCCCACAGACAGCCACUAACUUUAAGUAAUUAUCCAACUGAAAUUACAGCAAGCAGAACAAUUUUUAAGAAAUAAACGCUUUAAGGAAAUCCGAAAUGAUGUGGAAGUACACCGAGACGAUCGGAUUACAACGACUGGAAUAAUAAGUAGAACUCGGAUCAAAAUCUUACGGUGGAAAUCUCACCAAGACAAAAUGACAACUUCUUGUUUUUGGCGUCACAUUUACGAUAUUUUUUUUUUAAAAUAAAACUUAAUGUGAUCUGUAUUGAAAAGCUACAAACGUUAUAUAGCUACGGAAUCUCGUUUAACGUCUUCAUUUCUUAUGAAAACUAAUUUCUGUAUUUAUAAACUGGUGUGGAUUUGGGAUUUGAUGAAUAAAAUUUAGAGUUAAAAUAUGACUGAAGCGCGAUUGGACAAACAUUCGAGCAAAAGUGGGGGGUGGGAAUCAUAAUCUUUUGAGAUUCAUAACGUAGGAGGAGUAAAACAGUUUGGGAUUUCUCACAGAAAUGUGAUUAGUUGUUAAUUAUACUCGGGUCAAGUAUAAAUCUUAUAACUCAAUUGUAGCCCCCCCCCCCCCCAAAAAAAAAGGAGGGGGAAAAAAAAGACAGCUUCUUAAGUACCUUCCACCUGCGUGAUAAUUUGCUUACGAGUAAAAAUACAACACUGCUGUUUUUGUCCUGUCAGACGUCCCAUCCAUAGAGUCGCCCCGACUCUAGUUUUAUAACGGGUUCACUAUAGAACUAAAAACAUCCAAAUAACUCUACACAAGUUUCAAGACAUUGCCCCUUUCUCAGGCCUUUUCUUUCUUUUUUUUUUUAUUGCAGUGAUAUUUAUAGUGCUGUAGUUCACUUUGCCAUACUUGUAGUAAACAUUAGGUUCGAACUUCGCUCCGUCUCCUGCACAGAAUCCGUUAACGUCCCUAAUACUGGCACGAAGACCGGCUGAGGAAAUGUAAAAACAGUCUCCGGGCUGCACCGACGCAAGAUCGAGAUCGGAUAAUCAAGUCGCAUCGGACUUUCGACCGUGUUUAAUCCUGUGCGUCUACUGCUUCAAGGAUAAAACGUACGGGUUCGGUUAAGGAUUCGUUUUAGCAGCUGAUGAGGUUUAAAUUCUCCGUAUUUAUCGGACCGACUGCAUAAAGCGCACACGUUCCUCAAAAGAAUGGAUUCUGAUUGGCCGGUUUGAGGAUUUCUUCAAAGUUAAGGCGAAAGAGUUCACUUCCCGUUUACGAAAUCGAGUUCGCAACCCGAGUUAAAGCCAAGCUCGGAUGAACAAAUCCGCGAUUAGCUUCAGACUCUGGUUCGUUUAAUCCUUGGUGGUGCAGCUCCAGAAAUUUGGGAUAAAAAUUGCUCGGUGAACCGAAAGUAAGACGAGUGCAUCCAAUGAAAACACGAGAUUUAAAACAAAACACAAACGAAACCAAACGAUACGAAUUGAAUGGCAAGUUUAUCCAGUGGCGAGAGAGCCUGGUAAAACAAAAGGUAAAUAAACAGAGAGAGUAACAGCUGAAUCAUCACGACACGUGGAAUGACCUUUUACAUCAAGCACCAGUUCAGCUGUAAAAGUGUAAAGUCGCAAACGUUCCAGUACGUCACCUCUCGCACGUAAAUUUCCACCCAGAGCGUUUUCUUGCCCCCCCCCCUUCUGUUUGCGUGGGCGUUUUCCAGCCAAAGCCCUGACUACCAUAAAUAAAUAAAUAAAUGCGCAAAACGUGUACGCUCCGGUCUACGUGGCCGUCUCUAGUCGCGUUUUUGGAUUUGAAUCUUUUGGUGAAAUUAACGAGGAAACGUUCGAGCGGUUCGGUUCCUCGUGCUUCGAUGACGCGGACCCACGUACCCGUUAAGCUGCUUUCACGACGCCGUUAGUCCGAUACCGCGUCGCGGCGGCCGAGCUGACCGUUCAGAUUUUAAAAUCGCCGCUUGUUUGAACGUGACGACCUUUGUGUAAAGAAACACAACGAGGAAAAUAAUAAUAAUAAUAAUAAUAAUAAUAAUAAUAAUAAUAUGAACAACGUCUAUAGUGUGAAAACCAAUCAGGCAAGAAAAAACACAUUGUACUGCGAGUGUCAAAGCUCCUAAUAGUGUAGAUAAAACUGGCAUCUUUCAACAGAACAACAUCAGACAGAUCAGGACUUAAGUGCUUUUGC
ensembl:lncRNA